rnacentral:rRNA from 1 species
UCCUCCCUCUGGCGGCGUGCUUAACACAUGCAAGUCGAACGGAAAGGCCCUGCUUUUGUGGGGUGCUCGAGUGGCGAACGGGUGAGUAACACGUGAGUAACCUGCCCUUGACUUUGGGAUAACUUCAGGAAACUGGGGCUAAUACCGGAUAGGAGCUCCUGCUGCAUGGUGGGGGUUGGAAAGUUUCGGCGGUUGGGGAUGGACUCGCGGCUUAUCAGCUUGUUGGUGGGGUAGUGGCUUACCAAGGCUUUGACGGGUAGCCGGCCUGAGAGGGUGACCGGCCACAUUGGGACUGAGAUACGGCCCAGACUCCUACGGGAGGCAGCAGUGGGGAAUAUUGCACAAUGGGCGGAAGCAUGAUGCAGCAACGCCGCGUGCGGGAUGACGGCCUUCGGGUUGUAAACCGCUUUCGCCUGUGACGAAGCGUGAGUGACGGUAAUGGGUAAAGAAGCACCGGCUAACUACGUG